GGGGGACUGAGGAGUACAAGUGUUAUCAGAGGCCAGGAGGAAGGUCCUGUGGCUCUUGCUGUUCUUAUAGUGUCAUUUUGUUCAAGAUAAUCUCCUUCUGUUUGUCCCGACCAGUCCCUGUAUUUAAUUCAGGGCCUGCACAGAAUAAUCUCACAUUGCAGUUUGAUCAAGGACACAAUUCCGUAUGAAAGAGGAGAGCAGCUGCAAUCUGUUCCAAUGAAUGCAAAUUAGCUUCUACCCUGCAGCUUCUGGCUCUUUGGAAGAAGACUUCAGUUGGAAAGUUGGACUCCCUUGCCCUCUACCCUCUGCUGUCGAAGAUUAGCAGAGUCACAUCUUUCAUUCCUAUAGUCACAUUAGUACUAAGAAGCCUCUAAAGUACUUCAUUCUAGCAGAUAUGCAUAUCAGGACCCGAGUUUCUUUUAUCUUCCCUUCAAUUUCUGUUUCUAUUUUGGACACUUUGGCUUGAUGCAGCUUACAUUCAGAAAACGACACCAUCUGUCCCUCUCAUCAGAACCAAAUGCUUUUGUUGACAUUGGCAAUCAAGCUGCAUUUGCAGAGCUGAGGCUCAGAACACUGUUACUGUAACUGUUACUGGCUUUAAUGUAUUUGCUAGGUCAUUGCACAUGCUUUGUUCUGAAGUGUUUUUCUGUUUUGCUCUCUUUAGCACAUGUUUACGAGACAGUAUUUAAAGUUUUUUAAGCAAAUGAGAAAAUGUCAAGUGCCCCUCCACAGCUGGGAACUGAAAUAAAAAGUUUAGCUGUUCAUGCACAGCAAUUUAUAGCACAAUUUCAAGUCAAUAGCUAAAAUAAUUUUAAAUUGGCCUACUUGAUCCAGUACAAAAUGUAUUUUUAUUCCCUCGAGCCUUAUAGUCACAUUCUGCCACUGCAUGUGGCCUGUGUACCUCAAUUUCAUGUAACUUCCUUAAAUAAAGCUUUUCAUUGCAAACUACUCAGGAGUGUACUCUGGAGACCUUUCCAGUUAUCCAAAGGGUUGGGCACAUCAUAAAAAUGUGGGCUCAGGAAUUCAGUGGUAUUUAUUAAAGUCCAAUAUUGCAGCUUAUGCACCAGAUUUUGGAUGCAGUAGCACCAGAAUGGUCCCAUGCACAAAAAAGAGCAGAUUUGUUUUGUGUAAACCUCAAGAGAGCCAUGAUCUGACCAAAAGCUUAUUUUAUUGACCAAAUCUCAUAAUGUCCAAAAUUUUGAGGGCACAAAUCAAUGAUGACCUUAGCUGGAAUAAUUUGUGCACUUAGUGCUUAAAUAAUUGUCUGAUUACCUAUGCUUUGUAAACCUGCUCUUUUCCACACCUCAUAAAAGUUAUUUAAACAUGGCUCACAGUUCUAUGUUGACAGUGAAUGAAGGGCCUCAUCUCUGGCUCACUGUUUUCUUCUUGUGAAGAAGACCUGUUAUCUAUCAAUUUGGCCUUUGUGUAUUAUAUGUUCUUUAUACAGAAUUCUUGGUGCAUAUUUGUGUGGAUGGAAAUAAGAACUUGUUUUUGUUGCACACAAUUCAUUAGGUAAAAAGUAGAGGAUGCUUAUUGGCCAUAUAUGAAGUGAUUGGUACUAAGAACUGCUGUAUACUGCUCCCUUCCUCUACAUCUCUAAAAUUCUUUAGCUUGAUACUUAUGACUGACU